CCUACGGGGGGCAGCAGUCGAGAAUUUUUCACAAUGGGGGAAACCCUGAUGGAGCGACGCCGCGUGGGGGAUGAAGGGCUUCGGUCCGUAAACCCCUGUCAUUUGCGAACAAACCUCAUUCAUUAACACUGGGUGAGCUGAUUGUAGCAGAAGAGGAAGGGACGGCUAACUCUGUGCCAGCAGCCGCGGUAAUACAGAGGUCCCAAGCGUUGUUCGGAUUCACUGGGCGUAAAGGGUGCGUAGGCGGCGUUUUAAGUCGGGGGUGAAAGCCUGUGGCUCAACCACAGAAUGGCCUUCGAUACUGGGACGCUUGAGUAUGGUAGAGGUUGGUGGAACUGCGAGUGUAGAGGUGAAAUUCGUAGAUAUUCGCAAGAACACCGGUGGCGAAGGCGGCCAACUGGACCAUUACUGACGCUGAGGCGCGAAAGCGUGGGGAGCAAACAGGAUUAGAUACCCGUGUAGUC
rnacentral:misc_RNA from 1 species